rnacentral:rRNA from 1 species
UACGGAGGGUGCAAGCGUUGUUCGGAAUUACUGGGCGUAAAGCGCGUGUAGGCGGUUGGGUAAGUCAGGUGUGAAAGACCGCAGCUCAACUGUGGAAGUGCACUUGAAACUAUUUAGCUUGAGUUCGGGAGAGGGAAGUGGAAUUUCCGGUGUAGAGGUGGAAUUCGUAGAUAUCGGGAAGAACACCGGAGGCGAAGGCGGCUUCCUGGACCGAUACUGACGCUAAGACGCGAAAGCGUGGGGAGCAAACAGG